rnacentral:rRNA from 1 species
GACGGAGGGGGCAAGCGUUGUCCGGAAUCACUGGGCGUAAAGCGCGUGUAGGCGGUCGCGUGCGUCGGUGCUGAAAGCGCCCGGCUUAACCGGGCGAGGCGUGCCGAUACGAUGCGACUGGAGGCAGGCAGAGGGCGGCGGAAUUCCGGGUGUAGCGGUGAAAUGCGUAGAGCUCCGGAGGAACGCCGGUGGGGGAGCCGGCCGCCUGGGCCUGACCUGACGCUGAGACGCGACAGAGUGGGGAGCAAACCGG